rnacentral:sRNA from 2 species
CACCCGCAGUCAUCGAGCCGCGGGCGAGCCGGGGACCCACCGCAGCACUGGGGUGAAUCGCGCGCCGCGCACGUCGCGGCGCGGGUAGGGCCACUUCCCGCCCGAACCCGUCAGCUAACUCGGUAGGCGGCCAUCGGAAGGAACG